rnacentral:rRNA from 1 species
GAUGAACGCUGGCGGCGUGCCUAAUACAUGCAAGUCGAGCGAACAGAUGAGAGCUUGCUCCUCUGACGUUAGCGGCGGACGGGUGAGUAACACGUGGAUAACCUACCUAUAAGACUGGGAUAACUUCGGGAAACCGGAGCUAAUACCGGAUAAUAUAUUGAACCGCAUGGUUCAAUAGUGAAAGACGGUUUUGCUGUCACUUAUAGAUGGAUCCGCGCCGCAUUAGCUAGUUGGUAAGGUAACGGCUUACCAAGGCAACGAUGCGUAGCCGACCUGAGAGGGUGAUCGGCCACACUGGAACUGAGACACGGUCCAGACUCCUACGGGAGGCAGCAGUAGGGAAUCUUCCGCAAUGGGCGAAAGCCUGACGGAGCAACGCCGCGUGAGUGAUGAAGGUCUUCGGAUCGUAAAACUCUGUUAUUAGGGAAGAACAAAUGUGUAAGUAACUAUGCACGUCUUGACGGUACCUAAUCAGAAAGCCACGGCUAACUACGUG